UCGGCGGAUCAGCCCGCUCCCGGUAAAACGGGACGGCCCGCCAGAGGACCCCUAAACUCUGUUUCUAUAUGUAACUUCUGAGUAAAACCAUAAAUAAAUCAAAACUUUCAACAACGGAUCUCUUGGUUCUGGCAUCGAUGAAGAACGCAGCAAAAUGCGAUAAGUAAUGUGAAUUGCAGAAUUCAGUGAAUCAUCGAAUCUUUGAACGCACAUUGCGCCCGCCAGUAUUCUGGCGGGCAUGCCUGUUCGAGCGUCAUUUCAACCCUCAAGCCCAGCUUGGUGUUGGGACUCGCGAGUCAAAUCGCGUUCCCCAAAUUGAUUGGCGGUCACGUCGAGCUUCCAUAGCGUAGUAGUAAAACCCUCGUUACUGGUAAUCGUCGCGGCCACGCCGUUAAACCCCAACUUCUGAAUGUUGACCUCGGAUCAGGUAGGAAUACCCGCUGAACUUAAGCAUAUCAAUAAGC
rnacentral:rRNA from 1 species